UGGGGAAUUUUGGACAAUGGGCGAAAGCCUGAUCCAGCAAUGCCGCGUGUGUGAAGAAGGCCUUCGGGUUGUAAAGCACUUUUGUCCGGAAAGAAAUCCUUGGCUCUAAUACAGUCGGGGGAUGACGGUACCGGAAGAAUAAGCACCGGCUAACUACGUGCCAGCAGCCGCGGUAAUACGUAGGGUGCAAGCGUUAAUCGGAAUUACUGGGCGUAAAGCGUGCGCAGGCGGUUUGCUAAGACCGAUGUGAAAUCCCCGGGCUCAACCUGGGAACUGCAUUGGUGACUGGCAGGCUAGAGUAUGGCAGAGGGGGGUAGAAUUCCACGUGUAGCAGUGAAAUGCGUAGAGAUGUGGAGGAAUACCGAUGGCGAAGGCAGCCCCCUGGGCCAAUACUGACGCUCAUGCACGAAAGCGUGGGGGAGCAAACAGGAUUAGAUACCCUGGUAGUCCACGCCCUAAACGAUGUCAACUAGUUGUUGGGGAUUCAUUCUUAGUAACGUAGCUAACGCGUGAAGUUGACCGCCUGGGGAGUACGGUCGCAAGAUUAAAACUCAAAGGAAUUGACGGGGUCAUAGCUG
rnacentral:rRNA from 1 species